GACACUUUGGCGGAGAGGUUAACGCGAUGCCCUGCUAUUCUCUAUCCCACGAUAUAGCUAGCCUAGGCAUUUCCUUCGGGAGCGCAGGUUCGAAUCCUGCAGGUGUCG